rnacentral:lncRNA from 1 species
CCUCCCAGGCCAUUUGCCAAUGGACCACUACCACCAGCUCCACUUCCAGCAGUACGCCCCCCAUCGAUGCCAGUUGGACAAUUUCCUCCCCCAAUGCAGUGGCCUGCCCACCCUCAACCUGGACAAGGCCUUCCACAACCUGUGAUGCCUCCACCACCACUCCAACAGUUCAGGCCUCCAGCAAACUUGCCACCACCUCCACCCACAGGUAUGAUGAGGCCGCCACCACCACCACCUUCUGGGGUGGGUGUUCCACCACCUGCUCUAUGGAGACCACCUCCACCACCUCAGCAGAUGGCUGGAAGGCCCAUGCCUCCACCUCCGAUGCCCAUGCCACCAAAUAUGAUGCCAAAUGGCUCGGUUCCAUGACAUCACAC